UUUGAAUAAGGGCCAAUGAUGUUGACUAUUUAAAGUAAAAAUACAUAUCCUAAAGUUGCAUUCAGAAAACCUACUUGGACAGCAGCUCCAUUGCGUACUUAGUAAAUUUCUCCAAUUGCUGUAAAACAUGCAAGAAAAACGACAACUGUAUGCCAGAAACAGUAGUAGCAGCCACCAAUGUUGACCAUCAGAAGUGUGAGGCAGUAAUUUUUGUCGACUGAAACAGACACAGUUGCAAGAAAUCUGCAAUAUUACCACUCCGUUUUUGUUUUUUUUUCUGUUCUCUACUGUUUCAACUACUACUGUGGUGUUGAGGCCGCAUACUUUAAGGGAAGCGAACAAAGUAAAUUUGAUGAAGUUAUUCGGUAGAACCUGUCAUGGAUUGUAAAGUCUAUGCUAUUUUUAUGAGGGCAGUUUGUCGCUACACACUGCAAAUAUUGUAUUCUUCAAAAAAGUGAGUAUAUGCUGUGUGUAGUGACUUGGGCUGCUUUAGUAACAUUGAAUGCAUACUAACAAUAUUAAAUUUUCCUUUUAUUUCAUUAGCCCGAUGGAAGUCUUGUCCAAAGGUUAGUCUCACCGGUGGCAUCUUCUGGUGACAAGGCAACUCUAGAGACCCUCUUGCAGCAAGUGGCACCUCAGGUUCUUGUCGGUGAUGGAGCCAAACAUGUGGUCAUCACUCAUGGGAUCCAGGUUCCUCUGGACACACCGCUUCAGUGGAUGAGUGAACACCUCAGUUAUCCGGACAACUUUCUGCAUUUGUGUGUCAUGCCAUGCUCAUAGUGAUAGCUUCAAGUGUCCAUCAGUGAUAUUUCGCAAAUUUUACAUCUCGCUAGUCGAGGGCAGCUUGUCUUGUGGUUGCAGAAAGGGCUUGCAACGACUAUGAUAUAUCAAGCGCAAAUUGUUUGUAUGGUUACUUCAUACAUUCUGCUCGACUGUGCUGACGAUUUGCACCAGAAUGGUACUACUGUCAUAACGAUGAGUUGAGCUGUAAAAAAAAAGUGAUUCCUACUUGUCAAGGUGCAUGCUUUUCUUGUCCACAUUGUGCACUUUUUACAUUUUUAGAUGUCUGUUGACAUCUUUGACUGGUUGCUUAGAGCACUUCAGCAAUGCUACAAUGACUGUAUAAAGCAGCAACAUUUGGAGACUAAAGCAGCUCCGCUAUGCACAAUCAAGUUAGACUGUCACUGUCAGAGCGUGCAUAACCCUACAACACAACUCAAAUGCUAUCUUACUCAACAUUGUAGUGCUGCAGAAGCAUUUUGGAACCAGUUGAACAUGUUGUCAUGUUUGAUGAUGAUGCUUGUUGGACGUUAUUUCAUAGUCACGUUAAGCGAAUUACUGCACUGCCAUCAAGAAAAUUAGAUCUAACUGGAUCUUGUCAAAAUUUACAGUCAUGCUUGAUUGAAUGUGACUCCACUGUUGUGAGAUUUUGCGAAAAACAAGUCAUUCCCAAGUUUCUUUUUGUUCUUGUGCUGUAAAGCCUACUUAUUUUUACAGUGUCGCAUGGCCCCUGUCAAUGUGUGAUACAUUGCAUAAAGCUGUGGGCGGCAAUUUCACGAUUGCAUUAGUCUGUUACAGCACCAUUCAUAGACAGCACAACUUGCAUUUUUUAAAAAGUGGAAUCUGAAUAACGUUCCACCAAAAGCUCGAAAGCUGUGCUGCUACAGCCAAUAAUAAUAAGGUAUACACAACACAUUUUCAUUCAUCCAAUACCAGUCAUGCAUAGUUUUAAAAUGCUAUAAAAGUCUUGGCACCAAAAAUGUGUAUUCCAUAUGUAGUGGGUUCAGGAAUACACCAUUUACAAAGCUGAUUGUAAAAACCUUCAGUUACCAACUAGCAGCAAAGCUGUUGUAACCUUUUCCAAAUGUACCAGAACAUCCUGCAUAUAGUAAUCAAGUGCGAGUAUAAAAUGAAGAACAAUUUUGGGGCCACAAAAAAAAUAUAUUUAUUGGUACAUAACUAAAAACGCUUAGUCAACCCAUUCAGUAAAAAUUUGGUUAAAAUUUUAUACAUGAAUGUAAAACGAGAAGCAAAUUUUAUAAGCAGCUGCCAGAACAAAGCCCCAUAUUAAAUGCAUGGUUUCAUGGUACUUACUCGUGUGAGUUUGUCAGCCACUUCGUAUUCAUGGUAGUAAGCACACAGAUUGCUUUGUUCGAUGACAUGCUUGAUCUUCUACUACGAAUGAAAAAAGCUAUUUAGUAUGAACGAAUGUCAAUUUUAAAUAAUUUUAAACAGUGCGUGAUAGUUGAGAUACUUUGGUCAUAUGACCGCAUGGUUUUCAUAAUCUAUUUAAAAAUACAUAUUAACGAUGUUCUGUGUCAUCUAUACACAUAUUUCAAAUUUUGUGUGUUCAGUCUGAAGAUUGGAGUGCAGUGUUCGUAAGCUGUGUAUGUGUAUAGGAUUUUUCUUAAUUUAUUAACUGUCAUUUAUUUAGAUGAGAGAAGUUGUUCUUAGUGCAUGUGCUUCUAAAUUUAUAUUGUGGUUGUAAAAGUAAAAAAAGGCUUGUAUCCCGAUGCAAGCCAUAUGAUUUACAGAGCAUAUGAUGUGUUGCUAUUCCAUUGAUUUUGUCGCUAGAUUUAGCGACUUUUUUGUCAAUCCAGUGACAAAUUAUUUUAUUUAGCAACUUUAUUUAGCAGUGUUAGUAGCAAUAUAGCUUGUUCUUUACCGGUUUCUCAGAAUGUUUCGUUGAAAUUAACGGCUCAUUUUCAAAAAUAAAAUUCGUGAACUGAUAAAAACUUA